rnacentral:misc_RNA from 1 species
UCCAUCUUUUUUUUUUUUGCGCAUAUCCUUUUUGCGCACCCGCAUCCCCACAGUACAUGCAAGCAGACAUCGUUCCCAUUUGUGGCCCCGCCUUCCUUUCAUUCCUGGGUGCAACUAACCUAACCGGUAGCGCACCUGUCCACUGGCUCAAAUCCAUGCGGCUUGUAGCUGGGGAACCGCAAAUCCCCUCUCUCUCUUUCGCCCUCUCGGCACUGUCUGUUUCUCCGCCGCGAUCUCGUUUGUUGUGACGCACCUCAGACGGCCACACGCUGCCCCCCCCCCCCCACCACCACCACCCCACCUUCCUCGUCCCUCAUCUGAAACGCUUCCCACGACAUGAGCGUUUGGGUGCUUGCGCCUCUUGUACGUAAAACAGAAAGGUUAAAAAAAAGGAAAGGCAACGUCACCACCGGAUUCACGCCAAAGGAAUCAAAUCACCCACAGAAACACACAGGACAGGCAUUGAGUUUGACGCGCUUUUUACAGCCUCUGUGCGUGCCUUCUCUCUCCCCACUCAGGUGUACCACGGCACAGAGAAAACGAAAGCGAAAUAGAGACCUUCAGAGGGAUCACACCCGAUACAGCGUCGCACAACGGUGAGGCAUACAUACGCACCUACGAGUGCUGCCAGCACUCCUCAUCUCCCGUGCUAUUGUACGUGCAUUUGCGCUCGACUUCUCUCGGACCUCUUUCAUCGACUUGAUCUGACCACGUUGUUUUGACGUUGCUGCUGCUGCUACUGCUGCUUCUCUGUCCUUCUACCUAUCCCUGUGGGCUCCGUCUCCGUUGGCGUUGAGUCUUUCUCUUCGUUCCAUCUUAUCUUUUUUCUUCCCCGCACGUGUUUUUUUUUCUUUACCCGUUUUUUUUUUCCUUUUGUUUCUCUGUUGUCUCAGUGGGCUAUGUGUCUCCUCCUUCCUUCUUUCCCCCUCCCCUCUUUCCAUCCAUCCAUCCCCUCGUCGGAUCUCGGUGUCUGUCUGUCAGCCUCUCUCAUAAUUUGUCUAUUUCGGAAGUGAAGCGCGCGAACCGAUACACACGCCGUAGCAGUGACCUUUCGCUUUGCACAUAGACGCUCACCCCCACCCCCCACCCCCCACCCCUCCUAGCCGACACUUGCGUGUUCGAAACUUGUGUGCGUGUAAUCUCUGAUUUAGUGCUUUGCCUCCGGGUGGAAGCCGAGCGAGGCGCGCGUCUCUCAAGCCGGCGACGCCCCCUGGCGGCGUGCACCCCCUCCGACCUCCCCUCGCCCGCCCUUUCGUCGUUCUCGCCAUUUUCGCCACCGGUGCUUUGAAUGUGUGGCGUCCCUCUCUCUUUUUGGUUUGGCCCGCUCUUUACGGUUCUUUCUUUGUUCAUCUCCCUCUUGCGUUCUGUAUCACUUCCUUUCACCCGUCCCCCUCCCCCCUCCCCUCACCUAUUCAUUCCUACCCCAUACGUGUCGGCUCUCCUCCGUCUCCUGCCCACCCCCUCCCGCUUCUCUGGCGUAUCCCUCUUUUUUUUUUCGUCUUGACCCUCAUCCCUCCCCUCAGUUGCUCCCCAUAUCUCUCGCUCUAUUUCUCUCUGCGCGCGUGUCCGCCUUGUUCUUUGUCGCCUUCCCCACGCAACCUCCCUCCCUCCACUCGCAUCUGUGCUUCGAUCUCAUUUGCCUUUCCGUUUUUCCCUCGACGCCGUCUCUUCGGUUGCGUUGCUCUUCACAACGUCCCCUCGCCUCCCUUGCGGAGUCUGCGCAUCGUUGCUUUCUGUUUUUCUUUUUUUUUUGUCUUCGCGCGUGCAGAAUUUUGUGGUGUUGCAACGCUUUUUCUUUACUGCUGUUCUUUCGCGGUGAUCUAUCUGCUUUAGCUGAGCACCACCAUGGCGGAUUUUCCCGAAUGGAACUCUGGCGAGAUCGUAGAGGAAGAUGUUGGCGAGUAUCUGGACCCGCGCAGCGCUCUUGCAGCAAAGGUGCCACCCACGAUGCGCCGACAAGGACGCCUUCCUCCGAAGAAAGACACGACGCUCUCUGCGAGCCCUAAGGCAAUCGUCGGCUUUGUCCCGAUGGUGGAGUGCGACGUUUUAGAUGAUGAACUCGCUGACAAGGGCCUUGGCGGUAUGCCUUUAGAGCUGUGCCUUGACAGUAGGCAAUUGUCUAAGCCGUCGCCGCCCCACCAUGCCGUGUCGCAGCCGAAGGGACUUCCCACGUCCGCGAAUGGGUCAGAGGCGGCGCCGACGCAAUCGGCAAGCCCGCCAUUGACCCCGAGCGUCCCAUCAUGCGCGGCGUCGACGGCUGGCGUUUCUGCCGCCGAUAGAGGCAGCAGACCUGCCGCUGCUCCCCCGCGGAUCUCUUCCGCAGUGAGAACAUCCAGCGGAACUGGGCGGCCCAAUGUCGCGCCACAGAACACCGAUUCCAGCCGCCCUCCUCCGUCGAAGUUGGGGUCGAUGUCCGGCGUACAAAGCAGCAAAACUAAGAUGCCGCUGCCUGCUGGGUGCCCGCACGGGAGCAAACCUUCGAAGCCGAGCAAGCGUGUAUUUAGGGUCUCUUCGUCUCGGGCGUCUGUGAGCAGCGCCGACGGUAGCACCACCUCUGAGUGCGACAGCAGCAUCCGGGAAGCUCCUCCACCUCUCUCAGCCCCUGCAGGCAUGAGUCUGCCGACCCUACAAAGUAAGGCUGCCCGUGCUAGGACUGACGCUCUGCGCAAGCCCUUCUCUGCUGAAACGCCGGCGCCACUGCAGGCCAAGAUCCCAUCGCACGCCUCGCUGUCUUCCAGAGCGUCGGGAGUACGCGGGCCACCGCCAAUGGCGACAGAUCGCGCAGUGCCGUGCGGCGUCGCUGCACCCGCUUCUUCUUCACGCGUAGCGAACCCAGAUUUAUCCUUAAAGGGACCUGCGAACGGCAGCUACGCCGUUCGUGGUUCGAGGGCUGCACCGAGCGUGGCUGCUCCUGCUUCCACGGGCCCCACGAGAAGCACCACGGCAGCGACGAUCAGAACACGCGCGACGCGCUCCUCGAGCAUAACGCGGAGUACUUCUCUGCAGCGCACCGUGCUGAAUCUCAAGAGCGAGCCUGAACCAUCGAGUGGCGACUACGCGUACGGCGGCUUCUUUGUAUGUGAAAGAGCCGUCGAGCAUCAGGGCAAGGACUCUCUCGCCGGAACACAGGUGCUCACUACCGCCUCCAGCGCUGCCUCGUCGACCGACUACUCGGUACUGCGAGGGACGUACGACUCGUACGCGCACGGGCCGGGCAAGACGGGGCCUUUGAUAGCGGCGCCUCACAUCGGCUCUGCUCUGGCUUCUGCGAUGAGUGAGCUGCGCGACACCACCGCUCGCCUACCUGCGCUGCCUGCCUUCAGCGGCCAACGGCCCAAGGCCAUGCUAUCGGCAUUACCACAGCACCCUCGACCCCCACGGCACUCAGUGUCUGCCGGCACCAUGGCUCCCCGCACGCACUCCUUUUCUCACCAGGGACCCGUCUCCAAGUUUGCGAUGACCGGCACAAAGGCGCCGUCGGUGGCUUCCGCCCUCGCCGAGGGCAGUGAGGGCGAAGGGGUCAAGGAAGAGGAGGCGAAUGAAAUGAACGUUAGCAGCGACUUUCAGAACGCGGACAAGCACCGCAAGUGUGAGCCGCACAAAAAGCGGGAGGCGCGUCGACGCGGCACGGAUUUCGACAAGAUUUAAGCAGAGAGACCUCUUGGCUGUCGCUGCUCUCGCUUCUCCCACACACGCUUCUUACAACUUCCUUUUCAUUAUUUUCAUUCUCAGUCGCUGUUCAGACGCGCUGUCGGGCUGUGCAUUGCCUCUGUGUGCACGUGAGUCGUAUGUGUGUGGGCGUACGUUCGGUGCAGAGGGCGAAAAGGAUGCGAAACACCGUUCGCUGCUCGCGCGCUCCCAUGUACCGUAUACGCCUACUCAACGCGUUGGCACACGGGGGUGGAAAUUGGAAAAGUGUAUGUAUGAAACAAAAAGAGCGGUCUGUUCUGCCGUUCCGUUCUGCAGGCGCGGUGUGGGGUGUGGCGGUGCUUUCUAUCUUUUUCUCUUUUUGAGGUGGGGUGGGGUGGGGCGGGUUUUACCUGACUGACCUCACUCCUUUUUCACCCCCAAAUCUCUUUGCAGAUAAAGAUAUGUGUAUGUAUGUAUACAUAUGUGCGUGCGUGCAUCUAAUAUAUAUAUAUAUAUAUACAUAUAUAUGGCUAUGCGUGGGACUGUGCCGGCGCAUGUGAAUUACAUCCUUGUUGAAUCGCUCAAAGGAUCAACAAGAUGCGCCUCUCUCUUUGACCUGUGUAUGCUUCUCUUACCCCCCCCCCAUCCCUCCUUUUUCGCCCGCUCAUCUACUCUUCACUUGAUCGUCCUCUCCCCAAGUAUCAAUAUAUGUAUCCCUUAUGUGUGUGUGCUUUUCUUCAAGUCAACCUAUCGUUGCCCACCUAUUUGCGUCCCUGCUUUCCUUCUUGUCGUUGUCGCUUGCGUUUUUUUGUCUUGUGUGGGUCUGUGGGGGUGCGAGGGCCGUUUCAAACCUUCCGUUGUUUUGGCCGCCUCCUCUCCUUCAUUCGCUCUGUUUGCUUGCCGUGUCUCUUCCUUGUCUUUGGUGCGUGUGGCUCGUCCAUCGUCUCUCUCUCUCUGCGAAUUACUUUUAGAGGACGCGCAGGAUAUGCGAAGCAAUCGAGUAGCCGCCAGGGUGCAGCAGGUGCUGUUUCACUUUACACAGGUGCCCGCUCAUCCUCUGUAUUUUUUUUCCCUUUGGAGUUGACUUCAGAGAGGCCUCUCCACGUUUAGUGGUGGGGCGCAGUCCGCCGCUUUCUUCUCGGGGGCCGCGAAUGUUAUAAUGGUCGUUAUUUGCUUAAAUGGCAGUCGGGCGCAGUUUUAUGUUUUUUUUUUUCGGCAUAGAAGCAGAGGCAGGUUGGUCAAAGGCGUCGCUCUCUCAUGGUCUCCGGUCUGACGUGAUGCUUUCGUUUUAUUUUUCCCUCUUCUGCGCUAUCCAAGAUCGAGGCACAUUUGGUAGGGACGGAGCUCGGUGGGGUAGGGGCGAAUGAGCGGGUUCACGUUUGGCUGCCCUCUCGCUCUCGCUCUCUCUCCUUUGCUGACGUUUGCCGGUGUGCCUUCGCGCUCUUUCACCUCUUUGAACUCUUGGUAAUGUCACACUAAAUGCUUUUGCUUUCCCUACGGCUUGUGCUUGUCGAUACCACGUCGCCACAACAUUAGAGACGCAUUCGUAUAACCUCCAUGUCGUUCUCCCGGUCUUCCUCUUCCCUUCGGCACUUUUUUUUUUAGCUCUCGCCAUCUCUUUCUUGUCCGUGUGCGUGUGUGUGUGUGUGUGUAGUAGCUGGUUUCGGCUGUGAGUGGGAUAUUUUUUCUCCUUCUGCGAUGUUUGUCGCUUUCCUUGCGCAUGUUUUCUACCGAGGCGCUCCGUCACGCAACUCCCACCCCCUCCUUGCGCGCUCACGUCUACCCUUCGCUCAUCUUUUGUCUUUCCCUCUUCGCGUGCUAUGCCCUUCUUUCCUCUUCACGUGCCCAUUAGACGCCUCGCUACAUUCAGGUGCACACUGGCAUAAUCCUUUCCUCUUUUUGCUUUUCUUUUUGUGUGUCUGUCGCCUGUGUGCAUGUGUGCCAGUACGACUGUCCUUUUUCUCUCCCUCAUCACGGACUCCUCUUUUCAUUACCCCCUUCCGCCGUUCGCUCUCGUGUUCUUCCUGGCCCUCGGUUUUCCGCUUCCAUAUUCCCCCUCUCCCCUAUUUCAGCUGAUGAACAGGAAAAGAAAAUAUAACGAAAAGGCGGUGCUGCCGCUUUCUUGGGUUUCUCGCCUUCCUGUAUUCUCUUUUGUGCUUGUGUGUGUAUGUGUUUCUGCUACGGCAUGAUGCUCGGUUCACCACGGAGCGCACAGGAGCACACACAUAAUAACUGGGUGUGUAUGGGGGGGGAGAGGGGCUCUACUGUAUUGACGCGUGCAGCGGUGCACGGUGCGCUGUGCUCGCACACAUGCACACACACACACGCAUAUAUAUAUAUAUAUAUAUAUAUCGGAGGCUCCGAUGUGUUGUCGCUCUCUCACAUCUAUUUCUGUGUCUGUUCAAACCCCAGUCCCUCCUGAUGGCGGGGGACACUUCAGCGUGGCAUCACAAGGUCCGGUGCACCAGCCUUGCGUGGGAUAGCCGAGCAGCCCACCCUAUCCCUGCCAGUCCCGGACCGCUUCUGCUGGUGACAGGGCCACGCGCCCACGACGUGAGGGAGGGGAAGCCAGUGCGAUUUUGUCGCUACCGAUGUCGGCGGUGAGGCCCUGGACGGCGUUGUGCUGGGGCAGCCUGCGACUGCGCACACGUCUGCGCCAUCCAUAUGAUUAGGCAGCGUGUCAGCGUGGCUGGAGCGCAUCUCUCGCCCGGCCCUCACACUGCCUUGCUGGUGCGGGGAUGCACCGGGUGGCGACCGGCAAAGUUGGAGCGGCCGUGAGGCGACCUGCGGAGCGGGGGAUGAGUGGGUGCACAGCAUGAGAGAGAGGCCGCGCGCGGAUCACUGUCUUGGGGCAUUGCGGUAAUGCGUGUGGGCAGUGCUGCGUCGCACCACGCGAUGGGACACGUAACAGGGUCACGGGGAGGGUAGGGUGGCGCUUGAAAUCAUGCUCUAUAGCAGAGAAUGGACACACGGCACAAGGAAUAGUCUGUUUCUCUCUGUGCCCGUUACUUUCCUCCUUUUUUUUACUGUGUGAGUUUUUUUUUCUAUAUGGUCUUUUUUGUUCGCCUUCAUCUCAUCAUCGUUAGUGCGUGAGGUGAUGCACCUUUUCGGUGGCGCUCCUCUAUUUUGUUUUUCAGGUUUCGUUCGGUUUUCGUCAUUCGUGUAUACCAUGAUCUUCGCGUGGUAAGCUUAAUAUUCUGUAGAUGGAUUUCCACAUGAACGCAGGCAUCCUGAUGGGAGAGGCUCUUCUUUCUGUUACUGCCUACUGCUGUUUACAGUAUUAUAUGAAUACUCUUUUUCUGUUUAGAUUUUGCAUCCUCCUUGUUCUUCGUUUUUCUUUCUUUUCAAAUCUUCUGCCGCUGCUUAGCGCAUCUCCGCGUGGACCCCAUUCGCUCCCUUUUCCUGUGGUGAACUGUUUCUUGCUUGACCCUUUCCCUUCCCCCUUUUCCCGAUUGUUCUUGAUAUUUCACCGUUCUUUCUCUACCAGUAUUGUCUUUUAGCUUCGUGCCUGUCUAGGGUGGCCUCUUUUUUCGGUAGGCGUGCGCGUGUUCCAUAUGCACGAGUGAGGAAUGGGAAUGUUCUCCUGGUGUGCUCUUUUUUUAUCGCUCUUUUCCUUUUUUUUCCCUACGCGCCCGCUAUGCCGUAAGGGUGAGAAUCAUUCAUCCAUGCCGAACUCCACAAUCAUAUCGGGCACGCUGUCUUUGGGGACUAUGGCGAUGAUGAUUUCACGCAUCGGCUUCGGUUACGCUUGUAGGUGUGCACCUCUGUACGCGUGCGUACAUGAACCGGAGCUCUUCUGUGGGAUUUCAUUUCUGAUGGCACCUCUGCCCUACUUCAUCAUUGACUCUCUAUCUCUGUGGGUCUGUGGCAGACGCCGCAUCGAACCAUGCCGCUCUUUCCCACACACGCUAGUACGCGCGUGUUUUCCCUUUUGCGGGAAGGACGAGCAG